rnacentral:rRNA from 1 species
GAUGAACGCUGGCGGCGUGCCUAAUACAUGCAAGUCGAGCGAACAGACGAGGAGCUUGCUCCUCUGACGUUAGCGGCGGACGGGUGUGUAACACGUGGAUAACCUACCUAUAAGACUGGGAUAACUUCGGGAAACCGGAGCUAAUACCGGAUAAUAUAUUGAACCGCAUGGUUCAAUAGUGAAAGACGGUUUUGCUGUCACUUAUAGAUGGUUCCGCGCCGCAUUAGCUAGUUGGUAAGGUAACGGCUUACCAAGGCGACGAUGCGUAGCCGACCUGAGAGGGUGAUCGGCCACACUGGAACUGAGACACGGUCCAGACUCCUACGGGAGGCAGCAGUAGGGAAUCUUCCGCAAUGGGCGAAAGCCUGACGGAGCAACGCCGCGUGAGUGAUGAAGGUCUUCGGAUCGUAAAACUCUGUUAUUAGGGAAGAACAAAUGUGUAAGUAACUAUGCACGUCUUGACGGUACCUAAUCAGAAAGCCACGGCUAACUACGUG